AUGAGCACCUGUAGCACGGCCACCAGCCCCCACCACCCCCACGACCUCGCGCUCCGUCGGCCUGCCUGCGACCACGACGUCGUCGUUGGCUUCCGUGUCGACUGUCUGGAGCGGCGGCUGUGGGACCUGGAGAUGUACUGGGAUGAAUACAAGACCAGCCGUUCCACUUCCGCGGCCAUGCCGCCGCGGCUGCGCCAUCGCCGCAGCCGCUCGGACACCACCAUCGCCGGCUCGCCUUCUUCGGCCAUCGUCACCGGUGCCGGCCCGAUAACGCCGGACCUCUGCCCUAUACUCUUAGGGCGCUCGCCGACGACGCCGAGGAAGCUGAUCUCCUCGCUCCAGCAGAUCAGCAGCGGCGGCGCCAGUGCUAGCACCGAAGUCACGGUCGACGGCGGUGGCAAGAUCCGAACCUACGAGGAAGACGCGUCCAGCGUAUGCUCCGGGCACGCCGCGCCCUUCGUCGCUGUAGCAGCCAUGGCGGCCGCCUCCUCGCGCUCCUGCUCCUGCGAGUGUACCAUCCCGCGCUGUCCCAGUGGCUGCAGCUGCGGCUACUCGUCGAGCACAUUGUCCUCUGGAUCUACCGCGUCCACGUCCCUGUUCUCGCUAGGUGAGAAUGCAGCGGCCGGCGAGAUGAGGAAGACGGAGGGAGGCAGAUGGACUACAUGCAAGGUUGGACGGUUUGCCGCCAUUGCCGUUGCAGGUGUGGUGCUUCUUGGAACCAUGGUCGCGGCCGUCUUAGAGUUGGGCAUGGACGACGGCCAUGUGGAGUUUCUAGUACCCACAUGA
rnacentral:rRNA from 1 species